AUUGAACGCUGGCGGCAGGCCUAACACAUGCAAGUCGAGCGGAUGAAGGGAGCUUGCUCCUGGAUUCAGCGGCGGACGGGUGAGUAAUGCCUAGGAAUCUGCCUGGUAGUGGGGGAUAACGUCCGGAAACGGGCGCUAAUACCGCAUACGUCCUGAGGGAGAAAGUGGGGGAUCUUCGGACCUCACGCUAUCAGAUGAGCCUAGGUCGGAUUAGCUAGUUGGUGGGGUAAGGGCCUACCAAGGCGACGAUCCGUAACUGGUCUGAGAGGAUGAUCAGUCACACUGGAACUGAGACACGGUCCAGACUCCUACGGGAGGCAGCAGUGGGGAAUAUUGGACAAUGGGCGAAAGCCUGAUCCAGCAAUGCCGCGUGUGUGAAGAAGGUCUUCGGAUUGUAAAGCACUUUAAGUUGGGAGGAAGGGCAGUAAGUUAAUACCUUGCUGUUUUGACGUUACCAACAGAAUAAGCACCGGCUAACUUCGUG
rnacentral:rRNA from 1 species